rnacentral:rRNA from 1 species
GACGAACCGUCCAAACGUUAUUCGGAAUCACUGGGCUUACAGAGUUCGUAGGCGGUCUGGAAAGUUGGGUGUGAAAUCCCUCGGCCUAACCGAGGAACUGCGCUUGAAACUACCAGACUCGAGGGAGAUAGAGGAAAGCGGAACUGAUGGUGGAGCGGUGAAAUGCGUUGAUAUCAUCAGGAACACCGGUGGCGAAGGCGGCUUUCUGGGUCUCUUCUGACGCUGAGGUACGAAAGCUAGGGUAGCGAACGGG